GACGAACGCUGGCGGCGUGCUUAACACAUGCAAGUCGAACGGAAAGGCCCUGCUUUUGUGGGGUGCUCGAGUGGCGAACGGGUGAGUAACACGUGAGUAACCUGCCCUUGACUUUGGGAUAACUUCAGGAAACUGGGGCUAAUAACGGAUAGGUGCUCCUGCUGCAUGGUGGGGGUUGGAAAGUUUCGGCGGUUGGGGAUGGGCUCGCGGCUUAUCAGCUUGUUGGGGGGGUAGUGGCUUACCAAGGCUUUGACGGGUAGCCGGCCUGAGAGGGUGACCGGCCACAUUGGGACUGAGAUACGGCCCGGACUCCUGCGGAAGGCAGCAGUGGGGAAUAUUGCACAAUGGGCGGAAGCCUGAUGCAGCAACGCCGCGUGCGGGAUGACGGCCUUCGGUUGGUAGGCCGCAUUCGCCUGUGACGAAGCGUGAGUGACGGUAAUGUGUAAAGAAGCACCGGCUAACUACGUG
rnacentral:rRNA from 1 species